rnacentral:rRNA from 1 species
UACGUAGGGUGCAAGCGUUUGUCCGGAAUUAUUGGGCGUAAAGAGCUCGUAGGCGGUUUGUCGCGUUCUGCUGUGAAAACGCGAGGCUCAACCUCGCGCCUGCAGUGGGUACGGGCAGACUAGAGUGAUGUAGGGGAGACUGGAAUUCCUGGUGUAGCGGUGAAAUGCGCAGAUAUCAGGAGGAACACCGAUGGCGAAGGCAGGUCUCUGGGCAUUAACUGACGCUGAGGAGCGAAAAGCAUGGGGAGCGAACAGG